ensembl:lncRNA
GGAGGCUAUAUACAGGGGUACUGGUACAGAGUCAAUGUGGAGGCUAUAUACAGGGGGGUACCGGUACAGAGUCAAUGUGGAGGCUAUAUACAGGGGGUACUGGUACAGAGUCAAUGUGGAGGCUAUAUACAGGGGGUACCGGUACAGAGUCAAUGUGGAGGCUAUAUACAGGGGGUACCGGUACAGAGUCAAUGUGGAGACUAUAUACAGGGGGUACCGGUACAGAGUCAAUGUGGAGGCUAUAUACAGGGGGUACCGGUACAGAGUCAAUGUGGAGGCUAUAUACAGGGGUUACUGGUACAGAGUCAAUGUGGAGGCUAUAUACAGGGGGUACCGGUACAGAGUCAAUGUGGAGGCUAUAUACAGGGGGUACCGGUACAGAGUCAAUGUGGAGACUAUAUACAGGGGUACUGGUACAGAGUCAAUGUGGAGGCUAUAUACAGGGGUACCGGUACAGAGUCAAUGUGGAGGAUAUAUACAGGGGUACCGGUACAGAGUCAAUGUGGAGGAUAUAUACAGGGGGUACCGGUACAGAGUCAAUGUGGAGGAUAUAUACAGGGGGUACCGGUACAGAGUCAAUGUGGAGGCUAUAUACAGGGGGUACCGGUACAGAGUCAAUGUGGAGGCUAUAUACAGGGGGUACCGGUACAGAGUCAAUGUGGAGGCUAUAUACAGGGGG